GAACAAUGUUCAGGCCUCACAGCUUGGUUAUGGUGGAUGAGUGGUACCGGGAUGGGCUCUCACUGCUGAAAUUGAAUGGCGGGUUACCGUGAGCUGCCUUGAGCGUCGUAUGUACCACACACUCGCCUUGGUGGCCGGAAAAGUCCUGCCCAUCAAACCUCACAGUAGUAUACUA
rnacentral:misc_RNA from 1 species